rnacentral:rRNA from 1 species
GACGAACGCUGGCGGCGUGCUUAACACAUGCAAGUCGAACGGAAAGGCCCUGCUUUGGUGGGGUGCUCGAGGUGCGAACGGGUGAGUAACACGUGAGUAACCUGUCCCUGACUGUGGGAUAUCUUCAGGAAACUGGGGCUAAUACCGGAUAGGAGCUCCUGCUGCAUGGUGGGGGUUGGAAGGUUUCGGCGGUUGGGGAUGGACUCGCGUCUUAUCAGCUUGUUGGUGAGGUAGUGGCUUAGCAAGGCUUUGACGCGUAGCCGGCCUGAGCGGGUGACCGGCCACACUAGGCUGGAGCUGCGACACGGCCCCCUACGGGAGGCAACGGUGCAGUAUAGUGCAUUAUGGACUGGACGAUGACGCGGUCACGCCGUGUGGGGUAAGAGAGCAAUCGGGUUGUGUUCCACUUUUGCCUGUCACGAGACGUGAAUGACAGUAAUGGGUGAAGAAGCACCGGCUAACUACGUG